CUGGUAGCCUAGGACAAGAUCUUAAACGAGAAUAAUGGGUCUAACAAACCAAGAACAAUGUACAAGAAUGCCGAUCUACCUGCAUAUUUGGCAGCCUUAUACGAUAUAAUAAUUUGGCUUCAGUCUCCCAAAUAUAAAGAUGUCCAUCCUGAUGCUUAUGUCCGAGUAAGUGCUCAGAAGUGAAGUCACCCAGCAAAGAGCUUUGUGUGCACCCCCAGAGUACAACUUUAUCUGCAGAAGAUUUAACUCAGCCAUGUGCUUCAGUCCAUUCUGUUUUUGAUGAAAAGCCAUGGAGACUAAGAGCUUUGACAGUUCCACUGUUACCUGGUACAACAUGGACAAAAAUUAAACAUUAACCCAGUC